GUAGUUAGCCGGGGCUUCCUCCUUGACUACCGUCACUUUCUUCGUUGCCAAGGACAGAGGUUUACAACCCGAAAGCCUUCUUCCCUCACGCGGCGUUGCUGGGUCAGGCUUGCGCCCAUUGCCCAAUAUUCCCCACUGCUGCCUCCCGCAGGAGUCUGGACCGUAUCUCAGUUCCAGUGUGGCCGAUCAGCCUCUCAGCUCGGCUACCCAUCGUCGACUUGGUGGGCCGUUACCCCGCCAACUAUCUAAUGGGACGCGAACCCCUCUUAUACCGGAUUGCUCCUUUGACCUCAUCCCGAUGUCAGGUCGUGGUCUUAUGCGGUAUUAGCAACCGUUUCCGAUUGUUAUCCCCCUGUAUAAGGCAGGUUGUUCACGCGUUACUCACCCGUUCGCCACUAAGUUAUCAACCGAAAUCAAUAACUCCGUUCGACUUGCAUGUGUUAGGUCGACGCCGCCACGCGUCGUCCUCGUAGCACUAAUACAACUACUACUACUAGAGCGGGCGGUCGGCGACGGACGGCGACUAG
rnacentral:rRNA from 1 species